UGAGCGGUGUCCUUUACAGGGAUUGAGG
rnacentral:piRNA from 1 species